rnacentral:misc_RNA from 1 species
CGGUGCGUAGGGGAAGGGGUGGGGAACUAAUGUUGUGGGCCAGUCGUGGACGUGGGUACGCACGCAUCCGCAUCCAUACCCCCAUCCACACGAUCUUUUUCCUUUUCGUCUGCAUCUCAGCAGCACGCUUAGUGCUUUUCUGCUUUCGUCUGCUCUUGUCGCUGUUCUCUUUCCGCAGUCCCUCCCUUCCUCCGUCCCUCUAACACACACACACACACACACAGAGAGCUCUGCGGCGUACAGGGAGUAGCCGGAAAAGUGUGGAUGAAGCGAGUAUGCAUAUGCCCAGUGAGCGCGGGAAAAUAAAUGUCGAGCAUGGCACACGGUCUUUACACAGUGAGUACACAAAGACAUGCACACACCGGUGGAAUACCUUUUUUGUUCUCGGUCUCCUAGUUAGCGUGCUUGGGGGUGUAGGGGACAUCGUCGCCGCCGCCGAAAAGUGACGGCCUAUCAUGAGCAGGGUAACGAUCAGCAAACAGAGGAACCAGACAAAAUGGAAUGAGAGUUACUUUUUCAGCAUGUGCAGCUCACCUACCGCCCAUGCACCACAGCUGCACCCUCGCGGUCCAGGACGAGCCGCCCUGCCGCGGAGCCGGGCCGUGCGUCCUAUGGGCCUCUGCAUGUCCUUCCUCGCCCCCUUCACCGGCCGCGUGCCGCGCCAUCGGCGCCCGACGGAGACGCGGCGUGGACUGCAUGCCUCGCGCCAAAGCGGGCCGCGUCCGGGGUAACAUGCGCGAGGGCGGAGGCAGUGGACCGUCCAGGUGCGCUGCAGGACGCGCUCAGGGAGGAAGGCCACCAGCCGCAGGCCGGGGGGUGGGACCUGUGCGACCUUGCACAUCCUGCCUGUAUGCCAUGCGUCCCUCCCCCCCCAGUCCCCCAAGUCGCCUCAGCCCGCGGCAUCCCGUAGCGCGGGGCGGGGACUCUCCGCAUGGGGGUCUGGAGGAGCCCCGCUCGCGCACCUCGGGCUGCGCACGUCGUGCAUCCGGCAUCGGUGCCUCAUGGAGCCCACCCCGCCGGAUGGAGACGAUGCCGCCUAUGACGCCACGCGUGCCCGCUUUGGCGCUGUCCCGUGCGGCGCCUCUUCGCGCCGUUUCCUGUCGAACGCCGCCCUUGCCCUGCCCACCGCCGGGACGCCGCGCCCCAGCGGUGCGUGGCAGCGCGCCCGCGCAGUCCCCGCAUCCCCGCGCCCCGGGGCCUGUUUCACGACGGCCUUCUCGGGUCGGGCCGUGGGGAAGGGGGUAUGGCCUCGCCGUCUUCAUCUGGCGUUUCCAUCGGUGCCAUGCGUCGGCGGCGUGUCUGGUGGGCUCGUCCGCGUGUGUGUCAUCUCGCCCGCAACUUUCGCUCUCCUGUUCUCAUUGUACCUGCUGUACUGAUCUUGCCAG